AAUAUAAAAUUUCACUUAUAUAAGGUACCCAGAGUAAUCGAAUUCUCAGACAGAAAAUGGAGUGCUUACUAGGGAUGGGGCUUAGGUGGGUGAGGCGGGGAGUCGUGUUUGGUGGGUACGGAGUUUCGGUUUGGGAUGAUGAAAAAGUUCCCGAGACGGACCGUGGUGAGGGUUACACAAUACUGUGAAUGCACUUAAUGCCACUGAAAUGUACACUUAAAAGGGUUAAGAUGGUGAAUUUUAUGUUGUUUAGUGUACCGCAAUAAAAAUUUAGUUGGAAGCAUUCCAUGAUUAAAAAAAAAUUUUUUUUUACUUACUUCUCUACAUGUCCAACCUCCCAUCAGUACAACUAAUGUGUACCAAAAAAGCAAGCAGAAAAAAAAAGACAUCAUUAAGUUUAAAGACAAACUCUCUAGAAUCUACAGCCCACAAACCAGAUGGUCAGUGACUGUGUACACAAGGAAUUGCCUUUUGUGCCAAGGCAAUGAGGAAAGAGGGAGCUGAAAAAGAAACUCUCAUUUAAACAAAUAUUUGCAAAAUGUUUUCAGAAAUCUGGUGCGCAGGUAAAAUAUAAUGUCCAUCCUUAUUUAUUAACGAUGUUUUCACCAAAGGAAGAAGGGAUAACGCUGUAAAGCAUCAAAAAAAUAACGCUCACCAAGUCAGAACCACACCAUUGGCGAAAGCACACGAUCGCUAACCGCUAAAUACCGGGCAAAGAACGAAACCCUGAACUUGGGAGAGGCUAAAUGCACUUUGGAAAACACUUCAAGUUCAGUCCUCAGCGGAUCGAGCUGACGUGGAAGCCAGCAAUACGAAUGGCAGGCCUUAUUUUCCAGAAAGGCUCUGGAGCGCUUCCACUGUGCCCUGUUCUGCUGUUUCCGGACUAUCUUUGGCUGCUCUACACCGAACAUCGACUGGGUUAGAGGAAAUGUCUUCAACAACACGAGCGUCCCUUGUCACUAUCCAAGCUCACUGAAGGGACCACGUCCUACUUAUCUUCCGAACUCUACGCUACGCAGCAUGCCUACCGCAGAAAUGCACUCAUUGUCUUGAAUAAAUGAAUAUAACUGCCACAGAGAAUCUUCUUACACAGCCCUGACGUUGGUUCCCCAGAAAUGGCCACUACCUGCUCAUACUGGUCCUACUUGAGUCCACGGAGAAUACAACAUACUCUUCGUCCCAUGAAUGCCUUUCUCAUUGGAAAA